CAGCCGCCGCGGUAAUACGUAGGGGGCGAGCGUUGUCCGAAGUUACUGGGCGUAAAGCGCGCGUAGGCGGCUUCUUAAGUCUGAGGUGAAAGGUUCAACGCUUAACGUGAACAGUGCCUUGGAUACUGGGGAGCUUGGGUAUGGGAGAGGGCAGUGGAAUGGCUGGUGUAGCGGUGAAAUGCGUAGAUAUCAGUCGGAACACCCAUGGCGAAGGCAGCUGCCUGGCCUAAUACUGACGCUGAGGUGCGAAAGCGUGGGGAGCGAACGGGAUUAGAGACCCCCGUAGUCCCUGUCUCUUAUA
rnacentral:rRNA from 1 species